GAUGAAGAACGCAGCGAAAUGCGAUACGUAAUGUGAAUUGCAGAAUUCAGUGAAUCAUCGAAUCUUUGAACGCACAUUGCACUCUCUGGUAUUCCGGAGAGUAUACUUGUUUGAGUAUCUGUAAACAUCUCAAAUCUCUCUUCAAUUGCUUCAAUUGGGUCGAGAGAAUUGGAUUUGAGCGAUCCCGACUCCUUCGUCAGAAAGAGGAGGGUCGCUUGAAAUGCAGGUGCAGCUGGACAUUCUUCUGAGCAAAAAGCAUAUCUAUUUAGUCCCGUCAAACGGAUUAUUACUUUUGCUUCAGCUAAUAUAAAGGUUGAAUGAACUACCAACGCUGAUUGCAGGAAAACAUGUUCGUUUAUUCGGACUUGUAAACUCGAUCUCAAAUCAAGUAAGACUACCCGCUGAACUUAAGCAUAUCAAUAAGCGGAGGA
rnacentral:misc_RNA from 1 species